rnacentral:rRNA from 1 species
UAUGUAGGGUGCAAGCGUUAAUCGGAAUUACUGGGCGUAAAGCGUGCGCAGGCGGUUUUGUAAGACAGUUGUGAAAUCCCCGGGCUCAACCUGGGAACUGCAUCUGUGACUGCAUAGCUAGAGUACGGUAGAGGGGGAUGGAAUUCCGCGUGUAGCAGUGAAAUGCGUAGAUAUGCGGAGGAACACCGAUGGCGAAGGCAAUCCCCUGGACCUGUACUGACGCUCAUGCACGAAAGCGUGGGGAGCAAACAGG